GACAGAGGUGCCAAGCGUUAGGCGGAAUCACUGGGCUUAAAGCGUGUGUAGGCGGAUCGUUAAGUACCUUGUGAAAUCCCACGGCUCAACCGUGGAACUGCUGGGUAUACUGGCGAUCUUGAGCCACCUAGGGGCGAGCGGAACAAGCGGUGGAGCGGUGAAAUGCGUAGAGAUCGGGAAGAACAUCGGUGGCGAAGGCGGUCUGCUGGGCCGUUGCUGACGCUGAGGCGCGACAGCGUGGGGAGCAAACAGG
rnacentral:rRNA from 1 species